GAGAGACCUCUAUUGACUAGAAGAGACAAGUAAACGUCACAUUCACACAACCUCAGUUUCCAAACAGUAAGUUGCCUUCCAACUCUCCAGAGGGAUCAAAGCCAGUAAGGUAAAGAACAUCCAAAGGACACACAUCAAGAACUGAUAUUGUUAUUAUGUGAGGAGAAUGUGGUAGUGUGGAAACUACGAGGCACUAAGUCUAUAUUGUGAAGCAUUUCUACCUCAGUGGAAUUAAGCUAAUU